GACAGAGGGGGCAAGCGUUGCUCGGAAUUACUGGGCGUAAAGGGCGCGUAGGCGGGAUGGCAAGUCGGUCGUGAAAUCCCUCGGCUCAACCGAGGAACGUCGAUCGAUACUGCUGUUCUUGAGGAUUGCAGAGGAGACUGGAAUUCCCGGUGUAGCGGUGAAAUGUGUAGAGAUCGGGAGGAACACCGGUGGCGAAGGCGGGUCUCUGGGCAAUUCCUGACGCUGAGGCGCGAAAGCGUGGUGAGCAAACGGG
rnacentral:rRNA from 1 species